GACGAACCGUGCGACCGUUGUGCGGAAUCACUGGGCUUAAAGGGCGCGUAGGCGGCUUCGCAAGUCCGGGGUGAAAGCCCACAGCUUAACUGGGGAAGUGCCUCGGAUACUGCGGAGCUCGAGGGAGGUAGGGGCGGAUGGAACUUCCGGUGGAGCGGUGAAAUGCGUUGAUAUCGGAAGGAACGCCGGUGGCGAAAGCGAUCCGCUGGCACUCUACUGACGCUGAGGCGCGAAAGCCAGGGGAGCAAACGGG
rnacentral:rRNA from 1 species